rnacentral:misc_RNA from 1 species
GAAAUGCGAUAAGUAGUGUGAAUUGCAGAAUUCAGUGAAUCAUCGAAUCUUUGAACGCACAUUGCGCCCUUUGGUAUUCCAAAGGGCAUGCCUGUUCGAGCGUCAUUUGUACCCUCAAGCUUUGCUUGGUGUUGGGCGUCUUGUCUUCAGCCUGCUGGAGACUCGCCUUAAAGUGAUUGGCAGCCGGCCUACUGGUUUCGGAGCGCAGCACAAGUCGCGCUCUCUUCCAGCCAAGGUCAGCGUCCACAAAGCCUUUUUUCAACUUUUGACCUCGGAUCAGGUAGGGAUACCCGCAGAACUUAAGC